UUACUGGGCAGGGGGGUAUAUUUGAUAGAGGGUAUGCAAUGUUAUGGUUGAUUGUAUAGAGAUGGUUUAUUUGGCCGUUGUUGUAUUUGGAGGAUAGAAUUUGUUUCUGUUAUGGUGGUUUAUAUAGUUGUAAUAGAUGGUUUGUUUGGUUUUGUUCAGCAGAUAUUGGGAACAGUGUGCGAUCAAAUUUUGGAAGUGCUUUGAAUUCAGUCUAUAAAAGGUCAAGCACUAAGAUACGAAAGAGAAGACAACAAAUCAGUUUGGGUUCGUUCUGGAAAAGACCGGUUAAGGAGCUUGAUGAUGCAGCA